CACAGGUGUAUUGCUUGGAGACUGCCUAACACAUCUAGCUGCCAACCUAAGGGGCUAAAUUUAGACGUUGGAACAAAGCACACAUGUUAAAGCAAGCUUGCUCCUUCUCUGGAUCCGUGGGAUAGAACGGGCCACCUGGAUAGGAAGUGACCGAAGUGCCAGUGGAGUUAAGACAGCAAAGAUGAUUUACUAUACACGUGUUACAUUCAGCCACAAAUGAGAAGGAAACUUGUCCACAAAGUCACAGGUCCGGGGAAAGGACCAAAAGGGACCACUUGGAUAUGAGCAAGCGCCUUCUUCCUAUAAUAAGUAUUCAGGAUAGUCCAUGGACUGGAUCAUCUCAGAGGGGGCGCAAUGGCCUUAUCCAUGACCCAUCCCUUUCUCACAUCAGCCCCAGAAGACAUGCGGCUCUCUGUGUCCACACUGACCUCUAGGGAGACCACCAACCUCAUGCUGAGUUGGGCAUUUUAUGGACUUGCUCCAGGGAAACUACAGAAAGAAAAAUCAACCAUGUCGUCGGGGCACCUACCUAACUAAAUUGUUUCAGCUUAGCAGGAAGCAGUAAGACUCAUGCGUCUUAGCCUUCUGCUGGUCUUAAGUUCCUUUGAGAUUCUGAUGAAAGCUACAGAUUCA
ensembl:lncRNA